AUCCAGAUGUCAGGCUGGUCCU
rnacentral:miRNA from 1 species